GUUAAAGAAGUUGUCAAGACUGAAUAGGACCUGGCAAAGCUGGGACUCUCAUCCAGAUCCACGGUGACUUGCAGGAUGCUCUCUGCCCACUGGAUGGAAUGUGGAGGAGACCCUUGACCCUGACCUGUGGGGUCUAUAGUGGAAAAGAGCUGACUGGCCAAAGACCGUGUUCAGGCCCCAACGCCCGGAACAUUCUGGAGAUGACAAUGGAAAGCGGACCCUUCCUGAGCUUUUGUCUCUUGAGGCCCGGAUCCAGUUCCAGAGGGACGCCUAAGGCUAGAGCUGUCCCCCUGAGGGGUGAUGGCCCUGGAAUGGCUCGUGGGGAAGAGUAGCAGACAGUGCCCUGGUUCUGGUCCUUCCCCUGUGAGCAUGAGCUAUAGACAAUGCAACCUUGCCCACGAAGGUUAAGAGGCAGGUGUCUGAAAGUAGCACCUGCUGAAUACAGCCUCAGGAAUCAGAAGUCUCUGUUCCUUGACACACUCAGCCAGAAAUUCCCCUCACCUCAGUAACUGAGAUUGAGUGCCUUGACAUGAAAUGGCAGCCCGGGUCAGGAG